UUUGGAUAGGCUUUAAGCAACCACCAGCCAUCUACUCCUUAUGCUGCCCAAAUUUUCUGAUUUUAUUAUGAUUUCCAUAGUAAAAGAAGGAAAGGAGGCAUGGUUAAUUAGAGAAGAAGAAUUUCUUCCUUCCUGGGUCUACAAAAUCUGCAAAAUAAAGUAAAGUUUCGGCUGCCCAAAUCAAGUUUUCCAAGAAUUGGUUCCAAUUCUUUCUAAGUUUGCUCCUCAUGUAGAAUUAGUUUGGACUCUGAUUUUCUUCCAUUUAAUUCUUUCCAAGAUAUCUCUUUGCCACCCAAAAUUGGUUGCCAUAUCAGAUCUUUGUGCCAAGAAACACUAAGAAGAAUCUGGGUGUAUCUUGUUGUGUCCAACAUUGUUACCAACUUCAACCUACUGUAGCCACCUCAUCUGGAAUCCAAAUUCAAUUCUGUAAAUUAUGUUCCUUUCUUGCUUCUCUCAAAAUUCUGUAGGAUCUAAUCUUGCUUAAUUUGGAGUCCUGUAGCUUACCUUUUAGGGGUCCUCACAUCAAAAUAUCCAGAAUUUAGAUUAGUUGACUAGAUGGGAGAGAUUAACUGCUUGAUUUAUUUCCUGCACCUCUAGUUUCUUUUCUGGCUGAUG
rnacentral:lncRNA from 1 species